GACGAACGCCGGCGGCGUGCUUAACACAUGCAAGUCGAACGGAAAGGCCCUGCUUGCAGGGUACUCGAGUGGAGAACGGGUGAGUAACACGUGGGUGAUCUGCCCUGCACUUCGGGAUAAGCCCGGGAAACUGGGUCUAAUACUGGAUAGGAGCAAUUUUCAGUGUGAUGGUUGGAAAGUUUUUUCGGUGUAGGAUGAGCUCGCGGCCUAUCAGCUUGUUGGUGGGGUAAUGGCCUACCAAGGCGGCGACGGGUAGCCGGCCUGAGAGGGUGGACGGCCACAUUGGGACUAGGAUGCGGCCCAGACGCCGACGGGGGGCAGCAGUGGAGAAUAUUGCGCAAUCGGCGCAGGCCUGAUGCAGCGGCGCCGCGUGGUGGAUGACGGCCUUCGGGUUGUAAACACCUUGCGCUAGGGACGAAGCUUUUUGUGACGUUACCUAGAUAAGAAGCACCGGCUAACUACGUG
rnacentral:rRNA from 1 species